AUGAAUCGCAAGGACGCUCUUUUUAGAGGUCCGACCCCUUCAUUUUCCUACCCUGUGCACACACUGUUUUUUUACACCCAUAUUUAUACAACUCUUAGUCAAUAAGAAUGUAAUCUCGCUCGUCAGAGCAAUAAAAUAUAAUA
rnacentral:misc_RNA from 1 species